rnacentral:misc_RNA from 1 species
ACCAAUAAUAUCAACGUCUUCCUCUUCUCCGUCACCAUGAAAAAUUGUUGCAUCAACAAGAAGGUUAUUCUCCUUCUUAACAUCAAAACCGCUUGUCUCUCCUUUUUGAAUAAGAAAUCGCAUUUUACUGCCACCAUUCCAAGAAAUUCCAGUUCCAAGGUUUAUGUCUUCUACAUUUCCAUCAUUCUCCUCCUCAAAGUCCUCACCUAGACUAGACAUAUUAGCAAGAAAAUCCUACACCAUCUUAGUAGUGCCCUUGUCAUUAUUAUGGGAAACUUCACUUGAGCCA